UACGGGGGGGGUAAGCGUUGUUCGGAAUUACUGGGCGUAAAGGGCUCGUAGGCGGCCAACUAAGUCAGACGUGAAAUCCCUCAGCUUAACUGGGGAACUGCGUCUGAGACUGGUGAGCUUGAGUGCAGGAGAGGAACGCGGAAUUCCAGGUGUAGCGGUGAAAUGCGUAGAUAUCUGGAGGAACACCGGUGGCGAAGGCGGCGUUCUGGACUGCAACUGACACUGAGGAACGAAAGCCAGGGGAGCAAACGGG
rnacentral:rRNA from 1 species